AAGAGCUCAAGAUCAGCGACUCUGGAGAAUAUCUAUUCAGGAUAUUCACUGACUUCAAUGACUACACUGGAUCACCUGGAGUCAUUCUUACUGUUACAGGUACACAGGUGAAAAACAGCCCAUCUGUUGUAUCAGAGGGACAGGAAGUGAUAUUAAGCUGUUCAACUAAAUGCACUCUGAACAACAACACCUCUUACAUCUGGUACAAGAACGGACGACAGGUAACGGAUGGAUUCACUAAAGACAACAAGCUGUACCUGGACUCAGUCAGCAAUGAAGAUCUUCACCAGUAUUCCUGUGCUGUAGAAGGUAACACAUCUCUCAUGAUACAGGUGCUUCAGUGUGAAAUGUUUGCAGAUAAAGUACUUAAUAUUUAGUUAGUGCUUUAAUGUCAUAAGUGUAUAUCAUAUUUCUAUCUCAUUUCUCUUUGAGUGUAUCUGAACUUGUUUUAUGCUAUUGUUUUUGAAGACCCAACAAGUCCAGAGUCCAGCACAGUUUUACUGAGCACUGUAAUCAUACUGUCUGUAUUGCUGAUUCUUAUGCUCAUAGGAGUCCUUUGGUACAGGAGGAGAAAGAAUCAUUCAUCUCAACAAAAUGAGGACAAUAAGGGGAGUGUACAGUCGGGUCCAGCUAUGUUGUAUGAUAAUGCUGUAGCCUUGUCUACGGUCUGCACACAAGAAGUUCACAUGAAGGAUCAGGACAUUCAUUAUUCAACUAUUAAUUUCAAGCAGUCUCACACAAAGAACACAGCAUCGGUUCCUACUGCUGUUCAUUCAACCACAGAUAAUGUUCAUUAUGCUGCUGUAAAGUUCAGCUGAACCUUAGCUAAGCCCCAGCUUAAAAUACACCUAUACUCACAAUCC
rnacentral:lncRNA from 1 species